UCUAAGGAAGUUAAAUUCUGAAGACGGUGUUUUUCUUGGAGUUAAACCAUAUAUUGACUUGUUCUUUAAAGGAUCUAAUAAGUGAAUAGAUCAAGUAAGAAACAAAUUAGUAUUUAGCCCAUUCAGUUGCAGCACUGUGGUUUCUUUCCAGAUAUGAAAAUGUGAGAAAUAUUUCCUGAAAUCAAGCAAGUGGGAGUGGGAAAGAGUAUGUAUAAAUGUUACAUGAGGAAUCCAAAAUCAUCAUCAGCAUCACACACACACACAAAAAUACAUUUAUUAUUUCACACACAAUUUCAUUACACUUGGUAAAUUCAUUAGGGCAAGGCAAAUGUAUUCAUCCAGACAUUCAAAUAAGCAGAAACAUCUGUGCAGUCUUUAAAUCUGCCAUGUUAAACAGGCCUACCACUCUGUUUAUAUGCCCCAAAGAGCCUGAACCAAGACAGACGUAAGUAGGAGCAGCUGGAUUUGACCCUAACUCUUGAAAAUCCUGCCCUGCUUGAGAGCCACUCAGUAAAUAUUGAAGACCUAUUAAGUAUAAAGAAGUGCAAGACAGCUUGAUGGAUUAGAACAUGUAUGUAACAAACCCACUCCCAGGGAACAUGUACAAUCUUGUAUGAAAGUUGAGACAGAUACACUGAUGACUACCACACAGAGAAACCUAUGGUAAUUAAGUUUGAUAAUUAUUUAUAGCAGUCACAUUAUGUACUAAAACAUAAAGAACAUAAGGCCAUUCACCAUGGCUAUUGAGAUGGAUGAGGCUGAGCCUUUGACGUUGGAAGAACAGUAGCACUGUACACAAGAACUGAGGAUCACUUCUUGCCAUCAAGACCAGGGAAGCCAUCAUGGAACAUCGUGCAGUGGGCACAAGAGAUAGAAUGCCCAUUGCAACAUCAUUGGUAAUAGAAAAAAAUGAAAAUGUCCAUAAGGAUAAUAAUGAGUAAAUAACUGGCAGUGUCAUUGUAUAGGAAAAUACCAUACAGUAAUUGAAAGGAAUGAAUUAGAGCUACAUGAAUCUAUAUUGAUAUAUCUAAAGCCUAAUGUUGAGCCAAAAAUAAAGGUGCAAAAACAUUUUUAUAGUGUGAGACGAACUAUGCAAUAUUUUAAAACAUGGCAACCAAUACUUUUAUAUUACUUAGACCAGCAUACAUAUGUUGUAUAGAUUUUUUUUUAAUGUUUAGACUUGGUAGAUACUAGGAUAGCUUUUAAAUAUGGAGGGGGAAAAAGAGAGGAAAAUGAUAUUAAGGAGGCAUAUGCAGGAGUUUCUACUGUAUGUGAAUAUUUAAAUUUUUUUAAAACCUAAGCCUGCAGAAAUAUAGCAAAAUGGGAGAUGAAUACAUGGGCCUUCAUUUUUUUUUUUUUUUUAAUUCUCAGAGGUCUUCUGUUUGAAAUAUCUCAGAAGAAAAAAAAAGAAAAGCCUACGUGUGUUUAUGUGGAGACACAUUCCAAAGAAGGGACAUGUGGCUGGUUAUACUCAAGGUGGUUAUGUUCAGUUAAUCUACCAAACUGGAUGAUACGGGUCAGGACCCAGUUUUAGUUCAGAGAUCCUCAGUUUUAUUGUGUGCUUAGUCGUAUUACUCAAAUGAGUGAAAUUAGCUUUUGAUAGAGUCAGGGUACCACUUCAUGUGACCAAACAAAUGCACGAAGCCUGGAGAUGGCUGUGUUUGAGCACAGGCUUUGUCCUGCUCGCAGAUGUGCAACUGUGCAUCUAUGGACAGCAGUAGAGGGCUUCUAAGAACACUGGUGGCAAAUAUGUCAGGAGUCCCUGGCCAAUACUGUUGAUGCGAAGCUAAGGUUCUAAACAGUUUUGGAUCACAGCCUCUUUCAGAAUCUCUACGUAUUUUAAAAACCUGUGAAGCAUGUCCUUAAACAGACAUGCACGUGUAUGUGCACAUAUGCAUGAUUACAUAAAUUUCCACAAGUUCAUAAACCAAGGGGUUUAAGAACCUUAGUUAGGAAACUCGUGUAUAGGCACAUUACCUUAGAUAAAUUUGGUCAAAUCCUCCAGUGAAGAUAACUAAUGGUGCAGUUUCUGUGAAAACACACAGGACUCUGAAAAUGGAGCUACGGACCCAGUAAAGAGUUUGUACAACUCAGUGAGACUUCCUAAAUUCAUUGAUUUACAUACUCUACUAACCACCAUCAAUCUUGG
rnacentral:lncRNA from 1 species